rnacentral:rRNA from 1 species
UACGUAGGGCGCAAGCGUUGUCCGGAUUUAUUGGGCGUAAAGAGCUCGUAGGCGGCUCAGUAAGUCAGGUGUGAAAACUCCAGGCUCAACCUGGAGACGCCACCUGAUACUGCUGUGGCUAGAGUCCGGUAGGGGAGCAUGGAAUUCCUGGUGUAGCGGUGAAAUGCGCAGAUAUCAGGAGGAACACCAGUGGCGAAGGCGGUGCUCUGGGCCGGAACUGACGCUGGAGGAGCGAAAGCGUGGGGAGCAAACAGG